AGGCAUUUAUAGUGGGAAGUAAGAAGUCACCAAACACAGCUGAUGUGAAGAGACAGUCAGCUGACUUAGAAAGAAGACAGAAGACUUAUCUUCUGGUAGUCAAGACACUAAAAAUGAUCUGAAGAAGAAAUUGUGGAAAGGAGAGGACAAAGCAUUGAGGAAGUUCCAUGAGAUCAAGGACUAACAGUGGAGAGGAUGGAGAGGAGCGAGGCGAGGAAGCUAACCCGGAGCAAGGAUGGCUUGAGAACAAGGGAACUGAGGCAGUCAAACAGCAGAAGUAAUUCAGGAUGUGGGCUGAAGAGCAGAGAUACUACAGGAGAGACUGCAAACCAAGAGAAGCACACAGAGGAUUCAGAGUUGAAAACUGAACCCAGGCAGAGCUCCCAGAUACUGGAGGCUUGCAGGAAGCAGAUCUGGCUAGGAGAGGAGGCUCUGCUUACACUACUAUUAUUUAAAAGUGCUGGAUGGCAGGGGACAUCAGGAAUGCCCUAG
rnacentral:lncRNA from 12 species